UCUCUGGGUAUGUUAUCCUCCUUAAGGUCUGCGAUCACCUGUGCUACGUGCAUCCUUCACACCGUCCAGCACAGAGAGUUGACGGCCAAAGGCUCAGCCAUGAGUCGCCCCACCACCCACUAGAGCUAUGGUCGUCCAAACUGGAGGAUGCUGCUGGCAGAAAGAUGCACACCUCUAACGUUGAUGCAAAAAUGAGAAGAUCUGUGUGGCACAGUGAAAGGAGAUAACACUGGCUUCUGAAAGAAUACUUUGGGGGGGGGGCAGUCCAUUCAUUUGAUGCCCAAGAAGGAUUCAUCACAGAAACUUCAAUCUUUCAAAAAAGUAGACUCUAACAACGACCUUGAGCUGCUGAGGUUGGGCUGCAGCCAGAUUGAUGACUCGUCUCCUAUAUGCAAGAGGGUGAAGCACCAGGGUGUUACCAGAAAUUGAGACCUGCGCGGCUGUAGGGCUGGGCGCCCAGCCGAGUCACACCCACCUGGCUUCAGUUUUCUCAUCUGGAAAAUUAAAAUAACUCCUGUCCUAUCUAUGUCACUGGAUGACGCUGAGAACUGCAUGGGAUGACAAGUGUAAAAGUGAUCGGGCACCUGCAGGCGGCUUCACAGACGGGAGGAGCCAUCUUUUUCAUGCAGCUGAGUCGCACAGCCCAGGUUCUUCCAGCAGCUCCCCUGUGUGAAGACUGUGCCCACGGCUGGCCUUGAAGGGCUGGAAUUGGAUUUUCUUAAAAGGAUUCCAGACCUGUGGUGGCAGCAGGGAUCUCCAGGAGGAAGGAGGAGCUCGGGAAACAGGCCUAGGAGGUGUGGGAUUCAGCCACACCUGCCCGGGAGGGUUGGGAUCACAUUCAGUGGGAA